CCUACGGGAGGCAGCAGUGGGGAAUAUUGCACAAUGGGGGAAACCCUGAUGCAGCGACGCCGCGUGAGUGAAGAAGUAAUUCGUUAUGUAAAGCUCUAUCAGCAGGGAAGAAAAUGACGGUACCUGAGUAAGAAGCCCCGGCUAACUACGUGCCAGCAGCCGCGGUAAUACGUAGGGGGCAAGCGGUAUCCGGAUUUACUGGGGGGAAAGGGAGCGUAGACGGCAGUGCAAGUCUGGAGUGAAAGGCGGGGGCUCAACCCCCGUACUGCUCUGGUAACUGUACGGCUGGAGUGCAGGAGAGGUAAGUGGAAUUCCUAGUGUAGCGGUGAAAUGCGUAGAUAUUAGGAGGAACACCAGUGGCGAAGGCGGCUUACUGGACUGUAACUGACGUUGAGGCUCGAAAGCGUGGGGAGCAAACAGGAUUAGAUACCCGAGUAGUC
rnacentral:rRNA from 1 species